UCUACAUGACUUGCUGUCUGGCUGCCA
rnacentral:piRNA from 1 species